AACCUCAUAAAAAUCUGUGGCUUAAGCAGACGUUUAAACUUCACGUGUAAAAUAGGGCCUUAAUCCAUUCGUCCAAAAAUUUUUAAACACAUUUUCGUCAAUGCUCGCCGCAAAAAUUAUUUGAAACCAAACUGGGUUGGUCGAAGUGCAGAUUUUAGUUUUGGAAAUAAAAAGAAAAUCACAGUGUGAAGAAAACGUCGUUCAAAUACCAUACCUCAUGCAAUUUAAUAGAAUCCAGUAAUGAGAAAUAUCAUAAAUGGAUUUGAGCAAAAUUUCAAGUUCCACGAUAAACAAUUUUCUAUCGUAAAGAAUUUUUUUUCAAGAAAUAACAAUACCUAGCAAACA